CGCGGCCUAUCAGCUUGUUGGUGGGGUAACGGCCCACCAAGGCGAUGACGGGUAGCUGGUCUCAGCGGAUGAUCAGCCACACGGGGACUGAGACACGGCCCCGACUCCUACGGGAGGCAGCAGUGGGGAAUUUUGGACAAUGGGCGAAAGCCUGAUCCAGCGACGCCGCGUGCGGGAGGAAGCCCUUCGGGGUGUAAACCGCUGUCAGGGGGGAAGAACCGGCUCGGGCGAAUAGUUCGGGCAACUGACGGUACCCCCAGAGGAAGCGCCGGCUAACUCCGUGCCAGCAGCCGCGGUAAUACGGAGGGCGCAAGCGUUGUUCGGAAUUACUGGGCGUAAAGGGGGCGCAGGUGGCUUGGUAAGUCCUAUGUGAAAGCCCGCGGCUCAACCGCGGAAUUGCAUAGGAUACUGCCGAGCUUGAGACGGGUAGAGGCGAGUAGAAUUCCCGGUGUAGCGGUGGAAUGCGUAGAUAUCGGGAAGAAUACCAGUGGCGAAGGCGGCUCGCUGGGCCCGUUCUGACGCUCAGGCCCGAAAGCGUGGGGAGCAAACAGGAUUAGAUACCCUGGUAGUCCACGCCGUAAACGAUGGGCACUAGGUGCCGGGGAGUGUGACCUUUUCGGUGCCGUAGCUAACGCGUUAAGUGCCCCGCCUGGGGAGUACGG
rnacentral:rRNA from 1 species